rnacentral:rRNA from 1 species
GUAGUUGACUCCGUGGCUCGAGACGACGCUGGCGGCGUGCUUAACACAUGCAAGUCGAGCGAGGAAAUUCUUUCGGGGAUUUCCUAGCGGCGGACGGGUGAGUAACACGUGGGCAACCUGCCUGAUAGAGGGGGAUAGCCUCCCGAAAGGGAGAUUAAUACCGCAUAAAGUCAAAUGAAGGCAUCUUCAAAUGACCAAAGGAGUAAUCCGCUAUCAGAUGGGCCCGCGGCGCAUUAGCUAGUUGGUGAGGUAACGGCUCACCAAGGCGACGAUGCGUAGCCGACCUGAGAGGGUGAUCGGCCACAUUGGGACUGAGACACGGCCCAGACUCCUACGGGAGGCAGCAGUGGGGAAUAUUGCACAAUGGGGGAAACCCUGAUGCAGCAACGCCGCGUGAGUGAUGAAGGCCUUCGGGUUGUAAAGCUCUGUCUUCAGGGACGAUAAUGACGGUACCUGAGGAGGAAGCCACGGCUAACUACGUA